rnacentral:rRNA from 1 species
GCCCUUGAGUUUGAUCAUGGCUCAGAACGAACGUUGGCGGCGUGCUUAACACAUGCAAGUCGAACGAGAACGGUUUCUUCGGAAGCCUAGUAAAGUGGCGCACGGGUGAGUAACGCGUAAGUAAUCUACCCUUGCAUUCGGGAUAACUACGGGAAGCUGUAGCUAAUACCGAAUACGUUCAUAGAGUUACGACUCUAUGAAGAAAGAUGACCUCUUCUUGAAAGUUAUCGUUCAGGGAGGGGCCCGCGUUCCAUUAGCUAGUUGGUGGGGUAAUGGCCUACCAAGGCGAUGAUGGAUAACCGGCUUGAGAGAGUGGUCGGUCACACUGGAACUGAGACACGGUCCAGACUCCUACGGGAGGCAGCAGUAGGGAAUAUUCCGCAAUGGGCGAAAGCCUGACGGAGCGACGCCGCGUGUGUGAUGAAGGCCUUCGGGUUGUAAAACACUGUUGAGAAGGAAGAAGUGCAAGGGGAGUAACUGCCCUUUGUUUGACGGUACUUUUCGAGGAAGCCCCGGCUAAUUACGUGCCAGCAGCCGCGGUAAUACGAAGGGC